UACGUAGGGGGCAAGCGUUGUCCGGAAUCAUUGGGCGUAAAGCGCGUGUAGGCGGCCUUGUAAGUCCGUUCUGAAAGCCCGGGGCUCAACCCCGGGAGGCGGAUGGAUACUGCAAGGCUCGAGUACGGAAGAGGCGAAGUGGAAUUCCCGGUGUAGCGGUGAAAUGCGCAGAUAUCGGGAGGAACACCAAUGGCGAAGGCAGCUCGCUGGGACGUUACUGACGCUGAGACGCGAAAGCGUGGGGAG
rnacentral:rRNA from 1 species